CAGGCUGUGACAGGGUGAACCUCAGGGUGAUCCUGCGUCUGGCCCUGCUGAGGCUGGCUGAGGCUCUGCUCUCUGGGCUCAGCAGGACCACCUUCACAUGACGUCCCUCCUGCCCCUCUGUCUCUCAGGCUCGGCUCCUCCGCCAAUGACUGCUGUAGCCGUGGCCCCGCCCUCUGCGCAGACCCCGCCUCCGACACCAAGGACUACAGGAAGCUGUUCGAGAAGCUGUCCCAGGAGAACUCCCAGCUGCAGGCCCAGCUCCAGGACACCCAGCGACUCAUCAGCCAGACCCGCCUGGACCUGGACAAGGCCACUCAGAGACAGGAGCGCUUUGCGGACUGCACUGCUCUCCUGGAGCUGGAGAGAAAGGUGAGGGAGAGGAGACAGGAAAUAGGAGAUACUCCAGUCCACAUGUCAUGUCAGGUCAA